GCCAGGCGCAGCAGCACAUGCCUGUGGUCCCAGCUAGUUGGGAGGCUGAGACAAGAGGAUCGCCUGAGUCCAGAAAUUCUGGGCUAUAGUGCACUAAGUCAAUUGGGUAUCUGCACUAAGUUUGGCAUAAACGUGAGGGACCACAAGGUUGCCUACGGAGAGGUGAACCAGACCAGGAAAGAAACAGAGCAAGUCAAAACUCCUGUCCUGAUGAGUAGUGGGACUGCACCUGUGCAUAACCACUAUGUUCCAGCUUGGGCAUCAUAACAAGACCGUAUCUCUU
ensembl:misc_RNA Metazoa_SRP Metazoan signal recognition particle RNA